ensembl:lncRNA novel transcript
GGUAACCUGCUCGGGUCCCCUUCCACAUCAUGGAAGCUUUGUUCUUUUGCUCUUAGCAAUAAAUCUUGCUGCUGCUCACUCUUUGGGUCUGCACUACCUUUCUGAGCUGUAACACUCACUGUGAAGGUCUGCAGCUUCCCUCCUAAAGCCAGCGAGACCACAAACCCACUGGGAGGAACAAACAACUCCAGAUAUGCCAGCUUUAAGAGCUGUAACACUCACUGGGAAGGUCUGCAGCUUCACUCCUGAAGUCAGCAAGACCACGAACCCAUUGAGAGGAAUGAACAACUCCGGACGUGCUACCUUUAAGAGCUGUAACACUCACUGCGAGGGUCCGUGUCUUCACUCCUGAAGUCAGCAAGAUCAUGAACCCACCAGAAGGAAGAAACUCCGGACAUAUCUGAACAUCUGAAGGAACAAACUCUGGACACACCAUCUUUAAGAACUGUAACACUCACCGUGAGGGUCUGCGGCUUCAUUCUUGAAGUCAGUGAGACCAAGAACCCACCAGAAGGAACCAAUUCCAGACACAUUUUGUCUACCCAGAUGGGACUAUCGCCUAUCGCCAAGUGUUAAGGUGGCAGGAGUGGAAUCUUGGAUUCACCACACCCGAGUUAAAUUUUGGACAUCCCCUGAGGAACCUGCGGGACCAUCAGCUCAGGAGUCCCAAGAUCACCCAGACCAGCCUUGAUACCUGUGAACCAUUGGAGGACUUGCAUCUCCUAUUUUGGAAGGAAUCAUCCCAGACUAAAAAGGCUCCUACCACUGAUCCUGAAGAAAAACCCCUUCCUCCUUAAAAAAGAUAAGUGAAAACCUACAUAAUCUUUAACACCUCUCCUUGCCCCUUUAAUGGAAACCUUUUACUAUUUCAUCAUGUUAUUAAGCAGCAUACUAACCAUACUCUUUGCAAUAGGACUAUAUACUGUAGCUCCUGCUGGGAUGAAAAUAAAAUAGAACACAGGGAGCCACUCACUUUGCUCCCAACAUCCCUUUCCAGCCACUCACCGGAGCUACCUUGGCAAGUACUCUAGAAGUAUGAAAAAAUGAAAACAACAAACUCGCACACCUUUUUAACAUACACAACCAGUUUUGUCUACCCAGCCGAGGUAUAUUCUUCUUAUGUGGAACACCGACCUAUAUCUGCCUCCCCACUAACUGGACAGGCACCUGCACCUUAGUCUUUCUAAGCCCCAACAUUAACAUUGCCCCAGGAAAUCAGACCCUAUCAGUACCCCUCAAAGCUCAAGUCCAUCAGCGCAGAGGCAUACAACUAAUACCCCUACUUAUAGGGUUAGGAAUGGCUACGCUACAGGAACUGGAAUAGCCAGUUUAUCUACUUCAUUAUCCUACUACCACACACUCUCAAAGGAUUUCUCAGACAGUUUGCAAGAGAUAAUGAAAACUAUCCUUACUCUACAAUCCCAAAUAGACUCUUUGGCAGCAGUGAGUCUCCAGAACUGCUGAGGCCUAGACCUCCUCAUUGCUAAGAAAGGAGGACUCUGCACCUUCUUAGGGGAAGAGUGUUGUUUUUACACUAACCAGUCAGGUAUAGUACGAGAUGCCACCCGGUGUUUACAGGAAAAGGCUUCUGAAAUCAGACAACGCCUUUCAAACUCUUAUACCAACCUCUGGAGUUGGGCAACAUGGCUUCUCCCCUUUCUAGGUCCCAUGGCAGCCAUCUUGCUAUUACUCGCCUUCAGGCCCUGUAUUUUUAACCUUGUCAAAUUUGUUUCCUCUAGGAUCGAAGCCAUCAAGCUACAGAUGGUCUUACAAAUGGAACCCCAAAUGAGCUCAAAUAACAACUUCUACUGAGGACCCCUGGACCUACCCACUGGCCCUUUCACUGGCCUAAAGAGUUCCCCUCCCGAGGACACUACAACUGCAAGGCCCCUUCUUCGCCCCCAUCCAGCAGGAAGUAGCCACAGCGAUCAUUGCCCAAUUCCCAACAGCAGUUGGGGUGUCCUGUUUAGAGGGGGCAUUGAGAGGUGAAGCCAGCUGGGCUUCUGGGUCGGGUGGGGACUUAGAGAACUUUUCUGUCUAGCUAAAGGAUUGUAAACACACCAAUGAGCACUCUGUGUCUAGUUAAA